GAUAAGAUGCCUGACCAAAAGGGCUACCUUGAUAGGGUAAAUCAUGUAAAAAAUCGUUACUCUUGUCA
rnacentral:tRNA from 1 species